GACGAACCGUGCAAACGUUGUUCGGAAUCACUGGGCUUAAAGGGCGCGUAGGCGGCUUCCCAAGUCCGGGGUGAAAUCUUUCGGCUUAACCGGAAAAGUGCCUUGGAUACUGGGAGGCUCGAGGGGGGUAGGGGCAAGCGGAACUUCCGGUGGAGCGGUGAAAUGCGUUGAUAUCGGAAGGAACGCCGGCGGCGAAAGCGGCUUGCUGGACCCCAUCUGACGCUGAUGCGCGAAAGCCAGGGGAGCGAACGGG
rnacentral:rRNA from 1 species